rnacentral:rRNA from 1 species
GAUGAACGCUGGCGGCAGGCUUAACACAUGCAAGUCGAGCGAGCGGCGGACGGGUGAGUCAUGUCUGUGACACUGCCUGAUGGCGGGGGAUAACUACUGGAAACGGUAGCUAAUACCGCAUACCAUCAGAUGUUCCCAGGUGGGAUGAGCUAGUAGGUGGGGUAAUGGCUCACCAAGGCGACGAUCCAUAGCUGGUCUGAGAGGAGGACCGGCCACACUGGAACUGAGACACGGUCCAGACUCCUACGGGAGGCAGCAGUGGGGAAUAUUGCACAAUGGGCGCAAGCCUGAUGCAGCCACGCCGCGUGUGUGAAGAAGGCCUUCGGGUUGUAAAGCACUGUCAGCAAGGAGGCGUUACUCGCAGAGGAAGCAACGGCUAACUCCGUGCCAGCAGCCGCGGUAAUAC